UAGGUUAGACACAACCUCAAAAGAGGGCCGUAAGCAUAAGAGUUUUGGUGUUGAAUGAGAGUAGACACAACAUAUAAGUGCUAGGGGUCAUGAGGGGGUCAUCGGGGGCUCUUUGGUCGUGGAUAAAUCUAGGAACGUGUUAGGAUAGUGUCUCUGUCUGAAUGUGACAUGAUAGUUAACUCGAAAGAUAGUUAGUAAAACACUUUUUAUUGUUUAUGCUUUAGUACUUUGUAAAAUAAAUAAAAGAUUGUACUUGUAUGUAUUACUCUCUCUCUAUCAGACCCGUCUUUCACUUUUGUAGAUUAUUACACUACUUUGGUCAGAGUUUUCUACAUAUCCAAUGGAAUUAGAUUAAAUGAUCUAUAAUACAAAUUAAUGGGUAGGAAACAACUCUGACAUAAGCGAAUAUGAUAGUCAACAAUGUCUCAAAACUCUGAGUAUGACAUAGCCGCAUACGGUAAAAGCAGCAUGACAUAGCCGCAUACGGUAAAAGCAGCAACGACUUGUUGAUAGAAAGCUGCAGAGAGGAGUUUUUAAGGAAUUUUUUUUACAAAUAUAAAGAUUACGUUACAAAAAACAAAAUAUAAAGAUAUUUAUAUUGAAAAAUGAAAUCAAGAAAUAAAUAUGAAACCAAAUAAAGAAUAUACAUAACUUUUGUUCUAAGGAAGAAAAAAAUAAAUCAAGCAUGUAAAGUUCUAGAAAUAUUUCUAGCCUCAAAUGAUCCUAAACCAAGUUUUUCUUCCCAAUCUAGAUCACAAGACCCAAAAUCACCAAAUUAUGUUUCAUUAAUAUGAGCAUUUACAAUAUUACCAUUUUCUUUGUCUAAUUACAUUAUAAUUUUUUUUUUGGAAAAAUAAAAGAGAUCACGAGACGACGGUUUCACUUACCUGCCGCUUCGAUCAUCUCUUCCGUCAUCAUCUCCGGCGUCGCUAAUCCUUGCCGUCAUCUAUCCGCCG
rnacentral:lncRNA from 1 species